rnacentral:rRNA from 1 species
UUGACCUCGAAUCAGGUAGGAAUACCCGCUGAACUUAAGCAUAUCAAUAAGCGGAGGAAAAGAAACCAACAGGGAUUGCCCCAGUAACGGCGAGUGAAGCGGCAACAGCUCAUAUUUGAAAUCUGGCUCUCGGGCCCGAGUUGUAAUUUGUAGAGGAUGCUUUUGGUGAGGUGCCUUCCGAGUUCCCUGGAACGGGACGCCAUAGAGGGUGAGAGCCCCGUCUGGUUGGA